rfam:Macaca mulatta chromosome 4, whole genome shotgun sequence.
UUUUCAGUAUAAGUAUGUCCUUUGUAAUAUUUGGGAUAUACUAAUACUAAAA